UUAUUACCUUUCUCAUUUUUCUAAGUACUAAAAUGUCUGAAAAUUCCCCUCAGGUUGUGGUUUUCUCCCAGUUUUAUUAAGUAACCUUUAACAUCUUUCCCAAAGUUUCAUUUCCUUGAAAUGAGUCACAUCCUGAGCUCUUCUGUUUAUUAGUGCUUUUCCUUAGUACUUGAAUGUCUUGAAUAUUCUCACUAGGGAAUUAUCCUAUAUGGGUGCAGAUGAAGUUUGUUAAACACCCAAAAUAAUUUGCAGUCAAGUUUAUAAAAUAAUUUAUGAUAGGAAAUACUGAAUUUUUUUAAAAAAGAUUAGGCUAAAUGAUGUCCUGCCACUGACUUUUCCUGAGAGUACUAGAGUUGGGAUGAUUUUUUUAAUGGUAAAGUUCGAAGGGUUGACUUUGAAGAAUGGUAUUUUGGGUUUUUAAGCCAAAAUCUUGGGGCCUGCCACUGCCACCACUAACUGGGGGAAUUGUCCUGAGGACGUGUGUUAGUGAAAGCCCGCUCCAGUCUGAGUUGUGUGGGGAAGGGCUAUCAUUUCCCUGCCAAAUGCAGCUUCUCCUGGCACAGAUUCCUCCUAGGCUGUUGGGAUUGCCGAGUGAUGGCAGUGAGACGCGACAGCCAGCGUCAAGUGGGAACCAGGUCAGUCCUACCAUUGUGCUGCUCUUGUAAUUUGGGGGGAAUUUAUAGGUUUUGUCCUCAAAAAUUGUGCUCUCAACUCACCAAGACAAUGGUAAACCUGUGGAUAUCAAUUUCAGCAUGGCUUUUGAGAAAUACUUUCUGUAGUUAGAUAAAAAUUUUGUAGCUUUCUACCAUUUAAACUAAAUGCAGGUGUUGUUGAACCAUUAAUUUUCUCACUACCCCUCUGUAAGAAAAAUACCAACAGAUUUCAUAUUGCCCUGGCUUUCCUGAACACAGCUUAGUUUUUACCCAUCUAGAACCAUUCCUUUUUGCUUUUCCUUCUUUACCAGUUUUAGUAUCUCCACUUUUCUGUUUUCCUUUAAAAAUACUACUGAAGAUCAUUAUCUGAAAAUGAACAGUUAAAAAGUUAUCUUUUUCUGUCCCUUUGCUGUUUAUACAGAAAGAAAAAUAGUGAACAAGGUCUCAAACUAAAUUGACUAACUUGGAAGGGGAAAAAAUGGAAAACUAACCAGCAAGGGUUAGAUACAGGGCAUUCUUUUCAGUAAUAAGCAGAGGUUUCAUAAGCCAGUACUGACAAGAAGCAAGCAAAUAGGUUGUGAUUUUGAAACUUCGAUGGCUAGAAUGUGAGUCCUUAGAUGUCAUUAAGAAGCAACCAAAUGUAAGAUAAACAGUAAAUUAUAUAGAAAUGGAACUAUUAUAAGUAAUGUGGGUUAGUAUUGGUGGUCUUACAUUACAAAUGAGAAAACUAGCGAUUUCUAAUUGUGUCUCUCAAAUCACAGCUAGUCAAUGUUGAAGCAGGAACUCAAAUCCCAUGUUUUUACAGAAGAAUAAACUGGCUUGGUUCUCAUCUGGGUCACUGAAUGUGAACGCCAGUGAGGCAUGCUGGCUGUCCCAUGAUACUUACUUCCAUGUCCCAGGAAAUAGUGUAAUCAUACUUUGAGGAAAAUUUGAAAAAUUUUAUUUAACUAUGAAAACUAGGAAUCUUCUAACAGUAAACUUUAAAAGAAACUGCUCAAAUAUGUAUCUGAAGUAACUAUUAGAAAAUAUUUUCUUGACAUUCAAUUUGUAGAAUUCAAAGGGACAAUUCAGAGGCAAUGAUAUAAUCAGUGGUAUCAGUUGAAACAGAUUAUGUAUCUUAGGAAUCCUGCCUCAUUCAUCUUCACCAUUUAUAUAUUAUUAAUUUUCUACACUAGCUAUGGAAAAAAUAGUUCUCAUGAAAUACCUAGUAGAGGUCCAUGGAAGCAUUUCCUGUGUACUUUACCUGGGGGCACUGAUAGUGGACUGCACUUAAUGGAGUUAUCAAAUAUGCCUAAUGACCUGCAGUUUGGAAGCCAAUAUGGGGUAGAGUUCUGCACCUUUCUAUCCUUGUUUUUCAUUUCAAAAUAUUAAACACAGCCAAUGAGAAGUGUGAAAUAGGUAAAAAAAAUACUGUUUUGAAAAUACUCAUUCCUUUCCCUGUAAUUCACAUUGGCUAGCAGCCAUUCUGCCCUUAUGGCUCAUAUAGGGACAGAGAGAAGAUAAUGGUGACUUUAGGGAAGUCCACCUAUUUCAGGCCCAAUAGAUUUUGAGAAGGAGAAGGGUACAAAAGGUAAGCAGCAUUUUAGACAUGUAGGUUCUGAUCUCUAUAGCACAAACUUCACCUGUGUAAGUACUGUGAGGUGGCAGUAAUGACAACUUCCACAUAAUGAGCAUGACUUGUUUAUCCCCUGACUAUAGUCAAUGACUGUGUCACUCUUUAGGAGGGUCCAAGAGAUGGAAACAGAAGGCCUGCGUAAGAAAUCCUGAAGGCAUCAGGACCUUAAAUCCAGAGCCGCUGAGUUGCACAACAGCAGGGGGCACCAUUCUCCUGGGAUACCAGGGAAGUCAUUUAACAAUGUCUGAUGUCCGUUGAGCUAUGGGAUGUGGCCCUUUUUGGAAUUUCUGAGUUCACAGUUUGCACGCCGCUCUUCCUGUUCUUAGUCCCACUUCUGGAUGGAUGAUAGUUCAGAAAAGCUUUCCAGCCCUAGAUCUCAUCCAUCAUCAUCUCUUACUUGCACAGGUUCAGAAGAUUCCAAGUCAUGCACGAUCAGUUCCUAUUUCUUCAAUCACCUGGGGCCUGUUUUCUCUUUUUCAAACACAUUAAGUCCUGUCCCUCUUCAGGACUUUUAUUCUUGCUGCAUCCUUUACCUGGAAUGCCUUUAAAGGUUAGCAUGGUCAGUUUUCAUGGUCUUUGAUUACUUUAUUGGUUUCCAAAUACAACAAUCUCAGUAAAUCAGGAUGACAUUGGCUGGAGCAAUUUACAAUACAUGUGCAUUCACUAUUCCUGAGGACAAGAAAAAAGUUUCACAGUGAUGGAGCCAAAGCUAAAGGACAGAUGGAAAGAAUAAAAGGCCUGAACAUGAAGAAAAUGUAAUAGAGGAAAACACAGAAGAAAAGAAAGCUGGAUUUUAGUUAUUUAUCUAAUUUCAUUAAAUGGCAGUGGUAAAUCGAAGAUGAUCCAGAAUAUGGCACACAAAAUAGGCUACUUUGGCAAAAGGAUUAUUUUGAGCUGAUAUCAACGGAGGAACAGCAGACAUAAAAAAAAAAUGCAUGAAAGCUGGGCAUAAAUUUCCCUAUGUGAAGGUAUCUCCAUCUUUUAUACCAGGGAGGGAAAAACAACCUUUAUCACAGAUCAAGAUGACGCCAAGAUAAGUCUGCAUAAGCAAACCUUACUAAAUAACUCUACCUUCCAUUAGUUUCCUGCAUAUAUUUACUUUCCCACAAUUCACUACCCCUAGAAGCCCAAACCCCUUUUACUUUGUCUUGUCACUUCUCCAUAAUCCAUCACCCUUUGUUAACAUGGUAUAUAAGGCCCCCUGAGUUUAACUGCUUCUUUGCAUCUUCACUUUAUGUGAAGGUUUCUGUGCAUGUAAAAAUAUUAAAAUAUUAAAAUAUAAUUGGUAUGCCUUUUCUCCUGUGAGUCUGUCUUUUGUCAGUCUAAUUUGCAGGCCAGAGACAUAGAAGCUAAGAGGAUAGAGGAAAUUUUGCCUUCCCAACAUAAUUAUUUGAGAACUUAAUCCACUAGGCAUUUGCUCUCACAGUUUUCUUUCAAGUGGGAAGAGAUAGUGGUAAAGUAGAAGGAACUUUGCAUUAGGCAAGUCUGGAUUGACUCUUGAAUCUACUAAAUGUACGACCAUUGGCGUGUGAUUUAAACUGUGCGCCUCGGUUUCUCCAUCUGUGAAACAAAGACGGUAAGUAAUUCUAAUUACUUAAUGUAAGUAAUUACUUAAUGUAAUUGUUUUGAGGGUUAAAUAAGAUGAAAUAUGUAAAAUACUUAGCAUAAAGUGGAGCCUUGGUAACAUUUAGUUUGUUUUGUUGUGUAUCUCCAUUGUUAAAGAUUGUUGGAAAGAGGUGUUUAGGGAGCAGGAUGGAUAAAUGUGAAUGGAGCUGUUCUCUUUCUCUAGGUGAGGCUGCCACAGAAAUACAUAGCGGUCUCAUUGUGUUCGCUGGCAGUUUUGCACAAAGGGCUUGCAAUUGAAAGAGGAAUCUGAGAAAAAUCCAAGAUCCCAGGGUAUAAAAUAAGAGCACAGAAGGGAAAGCACUAUAAUUGUGGGUAUUGCUGAAUGAUUUAGAAGAAGAGGGAAAGAGCAUAUCUGAUUGCCAGUAUGAAGCAGGAGCUUGCACCCAAUCAUUCUGUUUUAAGGGCCCCUAUUAAGGAAAAAAUCCAAAAUACAUAAACACAAUCAAGUACACAGGUGGUCAUCUCAGCCUUACGAGACAGAAAAACUAAAAAACAACCUGAGUAACCAAAAAUUGUAAAUUAAUUAACUUACAGUAUUUUUAUGAGGGAGUAUUACUUAGCCACUAUAAACAAUACAGAAUAAGUAUAUGUAUUAUCAGUUCAAUUAUUUAAGAAAAAAGUGCACAGAUGAAAAAAGACCUGAAGAACAUACAAAACAGUAUAAAAGUACUUAAUAGUGGGAGGGUGGAUUAUAAAUGUGGAAUUUCAAUGUUCUUCUUUUUAGUAAAGUUGCCUAUUUUGAAACCUUUAAAUAGGCUUCAAAAUUAAAUUGCAAUAUUUCUUGGUUUUAAUUUUGAAUGAUAAUAUAUGUGCAGUUAGAAUGUUGGUAUAUAUAAAGUACAGAUUAUGAACAGUAGUAGAAAAAUUCUAAUAAAAG